UCCAGUCCGCAAGAGGAACUUUUUUCGA
rnacentral:sRNA from 1 species